CUGCUGGGGUGGUGGCGGUUCCCUGGAACCAGGCAUCGCUUGGCCUGGAGGGGCCUGUGCUGCAAAGUUCUGAGUUCCGGAGCUGGGAGGGACUGCCACGUGAUGCAGCGGGGGAGAGCAGGGACUUUCCCUGUCCCAGGACAGUCCUAGGACGUCUCUCAUAUUCCCUGGCACUUCUGCUCUGACUGGGAUGCCGAAUUCCUGGGGUACAUCCACAGUGACCCGACCGGUCUCCGUAAUCAGGCACAUCUCCUCUGGCCUGUGAUGUCCUGUGAUACCCAAGGUGUGUCUAACGUGACCUUGGAUGUCUCCCUUAUUCCCAGGUGUGUCUGAACUGGCCUGGGAGCUCCCCAAUUCACCACAUGUGUCUACACUGGUAGUUCUUAUUCCCCAGGUGUAUCUACUCUGACCUGUGAUGACUAAUCUGUUGUGUUUACUCUUACACUGGUUACGCCCGAAUUCACGAGUGUAGGUACAAUGACCUCUGAUGUCAUCCCGUUGUGCAGACUUUUUGGCUUUGACUUAGGUUGUCCUAAUUCCCUAGAGGUGUCUACCCUGAACUUGGAUGACUUUCUAACUCUCCAGUUGUGUCGUCUACUACAUAGAAUGUCUCCCUCAUACCACAGGUGUCUCUACCCUGACCUGGCAGACAUGGAAGCACGUUUCCUAGACUAGUCUACACUGCUGUGAAUGUCUCCCAGCUUCCCCAGAUGUGUCUUCAAUAACCUUUGAUAUCCUCUUAAUUCACCAGCUACGUCUGCGCUGACCUGGGAUCUCUCUCUAAUACCCUAGAUAUUUCUACCCUGACCUGGAAUGUUUUCUUCAUUCACCAAGUAUGUCUGCCCUAAACUUAAAUACUCCUGAAAAUUCCUAGGCAUGUUUUCUCUGAUACCCCCUUGUAGCCCACUUGUGUCCACACUAACACGAACAAAUUCCUAAUUCCCAGAGGUUUCUACUAGGACUUGGGAUGUCACCCUCCUUCCCCAAGUAUGUCUGCUCUGACCUGGCACAUGUCACUAAUUCCUAAGGUGUUGGCUGUCUUGAACCUCAGUGUCUUACUAAUUCCUGAGACGCAUCUAGACUGACUUGGACCGUUUCACUAAUUCCUCAGGGGCUGAACGCUCCCACCACGGCGCACAUGGUUCCCGUGUCUGCGCGUCCUCACCAACACUUCUCCCUUGUCGUCUCGGUGACAGCUGUUCCAGCAGGUGCCAGGUGCACCCACCUUAAUCUCAGCUGUCUAACUGCUGAGGUGUGGCUGUUUACAGCUGGGAUAUCUAAUUAUGCAGACGAGUCUACACCGAAUAAGGACGACUUUCUAAAUCCUCAGGGUAUGCCUAUCCUGACCUGGGGUGUGUUCCUCAUUUUCCAGGUGUAUCUACACUGACCUGUGAUGUCUAGUCCCCUGUCUAACCAGACCUGGACGUUUCCCCAGUUCCCCAGGCAUGUCCACGCUGAUCUGGCGGGACGUCCACCCUGACAUCUCCCUGUCACUCUGGCUGUCUACCAGGGCACCUCUUUACAUCACACAAAGUCUAACGGGACGCGUAGUGAGUGCUUCCUUGGGUAGUUCAACUCUGACAUGGGGUGUCCCCCAAUUCUAACGUGAUGCUUUCGUUCCCCAGGGGGAGCUACCAUGAUCAACGAUGUCACCUCGAUUCCUCAAGUAUUUCUGCAUGGACCCGGGAAGUGUCCCUAACCCCCCAGUUCUGUCUACCCUGAUCAGGGAGACAGGUUCAGGCCGUAAGCACUGAGGCCUCCCUAGUAAGUCAGGCUCUCGUGAAGCAUCAUCUGCUCAGAUCCCAAGAUGAGCCAUUACGAGAGUCUGCUGCUUGAGCGGAAUACCUCUGGUCUGCAGAGAAACAUAGUUUUGCAAAGCGCCAGAUCUCAAGACCUGGGGCUGGGCCGCUCUCCAGGGGCGGGAGGCCGGCCCCCCAGGGAGAGACGGGGUCGGAGAAGGGACCCCGCCGCAGAGCUGACCGCACGAGCAGGCGCAGGUGGCCGUGGUGUCCCCCGGGUGGGCCGAUGCUGGGGAGGCCACACGGGGGUCACUUCUCCCUCGCAGCCGCCGUGCUCAUGAACUAUGAGUACCUCGUAAACCCCUAGGAGUGGGAUCGCUGGGCCACAUGGGUCUUUCCGAGACUCCCCUGUGUUUCCAUGGGGGAUGUUCGUCUCCCGCGCCCACCGGCAACGCGCUCGGCCAUCGGCGUCACAACCUGGGCGUCACGUCCUGGCCGACGCUCGCUGUGCUGCGCUUCUGAUGGUUGCGGGACCUCGCGAUUGUCCUGUGUCCCCUGGUGAGGAGUGAGGGGAGUUCCAGUCGGGCGCUGACCGGCCAUCUGUGCGUCGUCUCUGGAGACAGACUUGGCCCAUUUUUUAAUGGGAUCGUUCCUUUGUCGCUGAGCAGUUUUUACAGAUCCUGGGUGUCAGCCCCUCAUCAGGUGAGGGAGACAUUUUCUCCCAUUCUGUGGGCUGUCUUUAACUCCCCUGAUGGAGCCCUCUGAUGCCCCAAAGUGCUUCCUUUUGUGAAAGUCCAAUUUAUCUGCUUUUCUAGUUGCCUGUGCUUUGGGUGUUAGAGCCAAUAAAUCACCACAAAUGCAACGUCCUGAA